UAACGACUCUCGGCAACGGAUAUCUCGGCUCUCGCAUCGAUGAAGAACGUAGCGAACUGCGAUACUUGGUGUGAAUUGCAGAAUCCCGUGAACCAUCGAGUCUUUGAACGCAAGUUGCGCCCGAAGCCUUAGGGUCGAGGGCACGUUUGCCUGGGUGUCA
rnacentral:rRNA from 1 species